UACGAACCGGACAAACGUUACUCGGAAUUACUGGGCUUAAAGGGUGCGUAGGCUGCGCGGAGGGUGGGAUGUGAAAUCCCUCGGCUUAACCGAGGAAUAGCGUCCCAAACCGCCGUGCUCGAGGAAGACAGAGGUGAGCGGAACUGAUGGUGGAGCGGUGAAAUGCGUUGAUAUCAUCAGGAACACCAGUGGCGAAGGCGGCUCACUGGGUCUUCCCUGACGCUGAGGCACGAAAGCUAGGGGAGCGAACGGG
rnacentral:rRNA from 1 species